rnacentral:lncRNA from 1 species
UUUCCAUUCCAUCAUUCACUUCACAAUGUUCAGAAACUUUUAAUCCUCUUAUUCAAAGAAAAUAACAAACAAAAGAAAAGAGGUAGUACCAAGCUUACCCCAGCUCACAACUCUCACAGUCUGGUCUUUUCUUCCCCUCUUCCAUCUUCCUUAUACUACCCCAAGAUAUCAACUCCUAUACUACAGAUGAUAACUAUUUUUCCUUACUAUUCAUCCAUUCUACCUGCUGAACCACCUUUUCAGCAGUUAUCUAUCUCUAUUUACACUAUACACUAGGUAUCUACAUUCUGAAAAUAACUACUUAUUCUACAUAGCCCCACUCCUAACUGUGCAGCGUCUUUGCAAACACUCAAUUGAUACCUAUCUAAAAAUUAUCUAACAAAAUUCUAUAAAAAUUGCGAUCCCUCUCGCCUAUCUAAUUAAUCAAUUACCGCAGUAUCUGUUAUUGGUUCCACUGAUUCCGAUUCCAAUUGCAAAUCUUCAUCCUCUUCCAAUCCUUCUAUUGGCUCUUGCCUCAACUGAGGUGAAAGGUCUUCAUUGUACUCACCCAGUUCAUGGACUUGAGCUUCCAAUUUCAGGAUCUAGGCAUCUCUCAAUUCCAACUAGCCCUGAAAGUGACUCUUCUCUUCUGGAACUUCGGGAACUGGUAACGUCGAUACUUGUGCUUGAUCAAUAUUGACUAAAUCCUCUACCAAUCUUAUCACCUCGGCAUUCAAGGCCUCAAUUUUAGCCCUUAACCACUCCGUUUCACAUCUGUAUUAGUCACUCAAUACCAAUUUCUCUUGCGCCAAUAACUCGGUCUUUUCUCGUUCCAUUAUCAACUGAUCCUUCGCUUUUUCUAGUUUUAAAAUUGAAUGAUUGGGAGCCCGGAAUAGUUCUUGCCUGUGGGUCGUUACCAUGCGUUCUCUUUCUUGUGACUAGCUCCUCAAUGUUAACUCUUAAUUCAAACUACUACUCUUGAAAACACAAGAAAUAUAAGAAAAUGGCACUUUAGCCAACCCAAAACAAUACCACAGAAUGACUUCAACUGGUGCCCCACUCCUAUUCUUUUACCUAGUGGUGGUAAUGACAACAUGUUACCCAUACUGUCCGUGAAAGGUAAUGAGAAGUAAUCUUUCUUGGUGGCCACAUUUAACUUUCAAAAAUCUUGACAUAUCUUGAUUUUUCCAUUCUUCUUCCGUACAAUCAUGAUUGGAGAAACCCACUCACUAUUUGGUACCAGAUAAAUAAAACCAACCGCAAGAAGCUUGUCCAAUUCCUCCUUCAUUAUGAGAGAAUAUUUAAGAUUAAGGUGAUGUUACCUCUGCCGUACCGGUUUAGCGUUCUUCUGUAAAAUGAUACGACGCUCACAGACUUCAGCGGGAAUAUCUUUUAAAUCAUCAUAAGUCCAAGCAAAAGCGGAUUUAUGAUGCAAGAAAAAUUCGGUCAAGCGAUCAACUAUUGUUCCUUAAUAUCUUCGUAGACCUUAAUUGUCCGAGGUUCUACUGUGGUCGCUAAGUUGAUAGUUUGACAUAAAGGUGCAAUAACAAUGUUCUGUUUCAACCUUUGUGUUGGUUUAAAGUCAGUCGAUAAGUUUGACUUGUAUGAAGUACUAAAUCUUGUAUCCAAGGUACUAAUAUGGUGCAUAUCAUACUUGGUCAUCCAAUUAGUACUAACAUAAUCCGAGUUUUUUGAGUCCGUCAGGUAUAUCAAGUACUCCUCCGGACCUCCACAUUGGUACACCACUCCAGGGUGUAGUGUUGCCUCUACAGGCACCUCCGUAAUUAGUACUACUGCGUCGUCAUCGGAGCUAAGCUCAUUGUCUGACGUUAAUCCAGAUGCAGGUAAUUGAGACUCUCCAUGAUAUUGUACUGGGUACAUUUGUAGAACAAUCUGGUCUUGACCUGUUCCAAUUGUCAAUGUGCCUCGACUGCAAUCGUUCUUAGCUUUGGCUUGAUAAAACCAAGGUCUGCUCAAUAAAAUGGAAUACGAUAAUGUAGAACUUUGUAAUCGGAAUACAAUAUAAUCGAUUUUGUAUAUCAAUCCCGCAAUUACAGUGGCAAUAUUACGUAAGAUUCACAUUGGCUUUAUCCGACUAUGAUCUGCCAUUCGCAAGACCAAUGUCGUAGGUAGCAAUUGCUUUAGAUCCAAAUCCUCCAUUGUAUCUACAUUCAUUAAAUUCAUACUAGAGCCACCAUCGACUUGUACCCUUGGAAUUAAAAUGCCAUCGAUUGAUACAUCGAUUGUUGGUGAUCCCAGAUCUGGAUUUAAGCUAACUUCAUGAAUUUCUUUAGUGUGAGAUCUUCAUCGUAUUAAUGUUGAAUUCAAUGUAGAUCGAUAUUCCAGUGCUAUAGCCAAAAGUUGCUUCAUUGUAAUUGAAAGCUGAAUAACAUCCAAAUCCCUGAGAAUAUCGUAGGGUUCCAUAUUAAGAGUAAUUUCCAAUGUUCUUUUGUAUUUCAUUGGUUUCGAUUUUACUCCGUUCGAUAGCAAUUCCUUCCUAGUCAUUGGGAUUGCCAUUGAUAACUUCGCCAACUUGUCUAUCACUAAAGGUUCCUUUAAUGCGUAAGAUCUUUUAUUGGACUGUACAGGUAUUGGUACUUGGUCAAUUGGCAUCGAUCUUGAUUGUCCUGAUAAAUUGGCACGUGGGACUGAAUUGAGUUCCUUAAUCUGUUGAGGUCUCAAUAUUGAGAUACGUCCCAAUAUUGAUAUUAGUUUGUUUAGCCCCGUGGACGGUAUUACUUAUUCUCCUAAAAUUGGUUCAUCGAUGUCCUGAAUUGGAUUCUUGUCUUUUUGUUGGCCUCUGGUAAGCACUGCGUUCACCACCUCGACAUGAUGUAUUGGUGAGUCUCGUUGAACAUGGCCUUCAUCCUCCCUCAGUUGGCUUGUUUGUAUUUGCUGGUCCCGAUUAUUAUAAUUAAAUGGCGCAUUGCAUUGCUGAUAAGUGUGACCAAACUACUUAUAAUUUCCACAUAUUGGACCAUAGUCAUCACUAGCCCUUGGAUUAGGACAUUCAUUGGCAUAAUGACCAAUUUGUUUGCAAUGAUAACAACGAAGUGGUCUCCUGCGAACUCCUUCAGGAAUAUUGGGUGUCUCUAUGGAUAUAUAAUGGCUAGGUCUGUUCCAUCUCGAAUGAGUACAGGAUCUUGGUUGAUCCAUUGUUACUGUAGAGUUUGGCAUUGGCUUCGUCAUGGAUGAAUAUUGAUGGUAUUUUGGUUGGUUCAUUGCCAAUCCGUGAGUAUUGGAUACACCUUCUUGGUGAAAUUCAGAGUUGAGGAAAUUAGAAUAAUUCUUGUUUUAUUUAUUCGCUCGAUUUCCAUUCCAACCAAACCUAUUAUUCGUCUGUACUUGAUUGACAUCCCACGAAGUUGGUUGUCAUUAUUUGUAUACUGAGUUGUUGUUGCUUCCGUAAAUUCCAACAAUUGGUGGUAAUAUGCUUACCCCCGCAAAAGGUAUAUUGUACAGUCAUUUGCGGUAGUAAAGGACAUUUUGUUACUAAAUGACCUUGCCCCUUACAAUUGCUGUACCAGACAUUGGGACGCAUAUUGGUUACUUUAUGCCUUUUUUCUUUAUCCUUGGCCAGAUUCACAGCCAAUUCAUCUAUUUUUUUUGUCAAUGUUAACAGCAAUGACUCAUUAGGAUCUGUUGAUACCAAUGCAUUUGGCAAUUCCUUUAUAGGUAUUGGUUUUUGAUACGCGAAAUAAGGCGCAUACGGGUGUGAUGAUGAUGGUGGUACAGCUUGCAAUGGAACGGCAUCCACUAUUCCCUCUGAAAUUGUACCAUAAUCAUUCUUUCCCACAUAACUUUCUAAUGCGUCAUUCCAAUUUGUCAUUUAAUAACCUCCUUGAGAUGGAAUCAUCAUGGCUCCAACUAUUAAGUUCUGGUCAUAGUGACAUUCCUCCUAUACUUUUGCUCGCUCAAGAGAUGAUGCAAUUGUGGCUGAUUGGGCCUCCUUUACAAAUAUUUUCAAUUCUGGUGGGUGUAGUCCAUUAACCAAUAUGGACAACACAAAUGAUUUUGAUAUUUGGUUAUUUGGCCAUUUUUGAAGUAUAUCUACUACACGACCAUAAUAUGACUGUACCGCUUUUCCUAGUACCAUUCUGCUGUUCAUCAAUUUUUCUCUAAGAUGUUCUUCAAAACCAAUUGGUCGAAAAUGGGCUAAAAAUGUAUUUUUGAAUGCCUCCCAAUUGAUAAAUUGUCCCACAGGUUGGCGGUUAUACCACUCAAACGCUGUGUCUUUCAAUGUCACUAGCAGCCAUCUUAGCCAAAUGUCUUCUGUUCUUCCAUUAUUGGCUACACAUGCCAUCAAGAAUUGAGACAAAUGUUGAUCUAGAUCUGUAGUUGGCAAACCCCGAAAAGUAGGUAAUGGUGCGACGCUAGUCAUUCAAUCGUCCAUUGCACCCAUUUAAACUGCAAUCGGAAUUGCUGGUCCUCUGAACAUCAUUAAAGAUGCCGGUGUUCCGCUCAAUUUCUUAUUAAAAUAAAAAUUGUCUCCCACAAAAGUCUUUUUCAGACUUCCAGGCGUUCUUGAUUGACUAUUAUUAUCUCCAAAUAAUUUUAUUGGUUGAAUAUGAGGUAAAAACAAUAGGUUUUGAUAUACUCUGAAUUGAUCUUUAUUGGCAAGUGAUUUAUGCCGAUCUUCAGAACCAGUCUUAUUAGGAUCAGACAUAUUUCCAAUUGAGAAGAUAUCCAGUGGGGUACCUAAUUCCUCUGUGCCUUCUUCGUUUUUCAUUAAUGGCUUUCAGAGGUUUGCUGGACUAUUAACAGUGCUCUCCGUGAGUACUCUUGGCAAUUUCUUUAAUGGUAUGUACUUCUGAAAUAUAAGAGGUCGAUCGUCUUCUGGAUACGAUUGAAUAUGUUGACAGGCAUGCAACCACGGCUUAAUCCAACUUUAUCGAUGCUUCUUUUUUAAUUUGUGAUCUUGUUCAUUACGCAACAAAUUUCUUGCUUGCAAUCUCUCUGUUCUUUCUUUUGAUUGCUUUAUUCUCUUUGUUGUUAAAUUCUCAUUCUUAAUAAUUAUACUCUUUCUUCAAACACUGAUAGUACUCUUGCCAAUUUUCUCACACGUUUGGUAAUUAAUUCCUAACACUCAAAGCUAUUAUCACUCCUCAACAGUGGCGCCAAAAUGUGAUUGCUUGUUUUACUUAUUCCAGAAGAAACCUCCCAACAUAAACCCCUAUAAGGAGAUUCGAACACAGGGAAUGACUAGUUGCUUAAGCGUUCACGUUAGGAUUACACAAUCAAUUACCUCCUAAAUGUAUCGUCUUUAUUUCUAAUAUCUGAACACAUAAGAAAACUAUAAUCUCCUCCUUCACCUUAUUGGUUUCCUCCUUACAGUAAUUCAGUCAUAUCAAUAACUGUUAUUUCCACCAAUAUAUUCAACCUCAUAAUCUCCAACUGUAAUAUUGCGCCUUCAUAGCUUUCAGCACACAAUUAUCCUCGUUCCAAUCACUGGAAUUCUUCACACAGAACUGCCAUUCACAUUACAGUGUUUCACACAAACACAGACUCAUUCUCUCUGCUGAACUAUAAUCAAAUUUCAGCAUUCAUUUUUUCUUCAUUUCAAAUAAUACCAAUCACAUUUCCAUUCCAUCAUUCACUUCACAAUAUUCAGAAACUUUCAAUCCUCUUAUUUAAAGAAAAUAACAAACAAAAGAAAAGAGGUAGCACCAAGCUUAUCCCGGCUCACAACUCUCACAGUCUGGCCUUUUCUUCCCCUCUCCCAUCUUCCUUAUACUACCCCGAGAUACCAACUCCUAUACUACAAAUGAUAACUACUUUUC